rnacentral:lncRNA from 1 species
ACGUUGGGCAGAAAAGCUCAGACAGAAACUACUGUCAUACAAAAGACAGGCAGAUGAUGACUACAAUUUCUGUCUUAGAGAAUUUCGGGAUCAGCUGAAGUGGUUUGAGGAGGAGCUCUCUUCUGUCUCCCAGUUAGCAGUGGAUAGUCUUUUAAGAGAACAUGAGCAGAAACUCAGCUCUUGCACUGCUCAGAUUCAGCACCUCUUCAACAGACAGCUGGGAGAGUGGGAGGAUAUGAAGACUGCGCACCGGAGAAAAUGA